rnacentral:lncRNA from 1 species
GCCAGCCAGAGCCCACGCGGGGUGUCUCCUUCCGUCAGCUUGGGAUCGCUCACAUCCUCACGUGGAAUUUGAUAAGCAACAAAGGUCAGUUAUAGAAGUGAAUUGUACAUGAUAGUGAUUAAUAAUAAAAAAUAAGAUGCAUUCAACUCAACAUGUCCACAAGUAGGAGAGACGGACAUGUUUCUAACCAGGGAGAAAGAAAAAGAGGCAGCUUUGGAGAAAUGCCACGUGCAUCGGGCUGCGAUUUGCAGCAAGUCCUGGCUCCGAAGGUGGUGCUGAAGAGCUGGGCGGAGAAAGGAGGAGGAAGCCAGAGAAAACCUGUUUGAGUCUGGUUGGCCUGGAUUUGGAUCCCAGGCUUGCCCUUUUCCAGGGACUGGAAACUCAGGUUGUUCUCGCCCUCUGCCACUGCCAUGAGGAGGCCAGGCUCCAGGUCCCAAGCAGAGGCUGGCAGAAACAUGGAGCUGAGCAAAUCACCCCUGUUGCUCCAUCUAAUCGGAUCCCAGGGGACAGCCAGGGCAUCUGCAGACAUGUGAGUGGGUCCAGCCAAGGCCAGUAGAACAGCCUGGCAGCCACCCAGAUUGUGGUAAGAAGUGGCCAUACUGCAUGCCACUGAGGAGCUGGGGCUGCUUCCUACACAGCAGUACUGUGCAAUGGACAGGUGACACCCAUCCAUGUGGGUCUCCAUUCUGGGCUCUGAGCUCCAUGACGAGGUUUCCUCUCCGACCUCCUGCCACGCGCAGGCUGUAGGCUUUGUCUCCGGUCCCCUGAGACUCUGGUGCCACAUCAGAAAAGAUUCCCCAGGAUAGCAGGGGUCUGCAAAUAUCCCCCAGGAAAGGCCCGCUCCUGGGCACACCCACCUUCGUGGAGUCACACUCAUGUGUCAGCUGUUGAUUUCCAAAAGGUUCUCCUACUUUCCUGACAACCAGCAUCGUUAAAACACAUUUUUUAAUCCUGAAUUUUUUCAGGGGUGCAGUGGUGGCAGGGGGUCGUCAGGCAUGGAAUCCUCCUCCAUCACUAAUCAUCUGGUCACGUCUACCUCCUCACCAAACUGUGGUCUUCCCGACAGAAGAGGCUGCAGCGUGCCCUGCUCAAACUGCGCUGCUCUGCGAGUCCUCCUCGAGGAGGGGUCGUCGGCCACCUAGACAGCUGUUGUUCCUCCCAGAACACUCUUUGGGAUCUUACCAGUGGAGUAGCCAGGGGGCCCCUCUCUGACAUGGGCUAAAAAUCUCACCUGCUUUUUUUUUGAGGAAGAUUAGCCCUGAGCUAACAUCUGCUGCCAAUCCUCCUCUUUUUGCUGAGGAAGACUGGCCCUGAGCUAACACCUGUGUCCAUCUUCCUCUACUUUAUAUGUGGGAUGCCUGCCACAGC